rnacentral:rRNA from 1 species
UACGUAGGGUGCGAGCGUUAAUUGGAAUUACUGGGCGUAAAGCGUGCGCAGGCGGCGCGUUAAGACAGGUGUGAAAGCCCCGAGCUUAACUUGGGAAUUGCGCUUGUGACUGGCGUGCUGGAGUGUGGCAGAGGGAGGUGGAAUUCCACGUGUAGCAGUGAAAUGCGUAGAGAUGUGGAGGAACACCGAUGGCGAAGGCAGCCUCCUGGGCCAGCACUGACGCUCAUGCACGAAAGCGUGGGGAGCAAACAGG